GGCAGUGUGGCCUAGUAGACAGAGCAUGGGCCUGGGAGUCAGAAGGACCUGGGUUCUAAUCCCAGCUCUACCA
rfam:Ornithorhynchus anatinus chromosome 14, whole genome shotgun sequence.